CCUACGGGAGGCAGCAGUGAGGAAUAUUGGUCAAUGGACGAGAGUCUGAACCAGCCAAGUAGCGUGAAGGAUGACUGCCCUAUGGGUUGUAAACUUCUUUUAUAUGGGAAUAAAACGUUCCACGUGUGGGAUUUUGUAUGUACCAUAUGAAUAAGGAUCGGCUAACUCCGUGCCAGCAGCCGCGGUAAUACGGAGGAUCCGAGCGUUAUCCGGAUUUAUUGGGUUUAAAGGGAGCGUAGGUGGAGUGUUAAGUCAGUUGUGAAAGUUUGCGGCUCAACCGUAAAAGUGCAGUUGAAACUGGCAGUCUUGAGUACAGUAGAGGUGGGCGGAAUUCGUGGUGUAGCGGUGAAAUGCUUAGAUAUCACGAAGAACUCCGAUUGCGAAGGCAGUUCACUGGACUGCAACUGACACUGAGGCUCGAAAGUGUGGGUAUCAAACAGGAUUAGAUACCCCAGUAGUC
rnacentral:rRNA from 1 species